rnacentral:rRNA from 1 species
GGGGGACCACCCUUCCAAGCCUAAAUACUCGUAUGUGACCGAUAGUGAACAAGUACCGUGAGGGAAAGGUGAAAAGCACCCCGACGAGGGGAGUGAAAUAGACCUGAAACCGGACACCUACAAACAGAUGGAGCCCAAGAUACGUUCUGGGUGACAUCGUACCUUUUGUAUUAUGGGCCAGCGACUUAAUUUAACGAGCAAGCUUAAGCCGAUAGGCGAAGGCGCAGCGAAAGCGAGUCUGAAUAGGGCGUCAAGUU